CCUACGGGUGGCUGCAGUAGGGAAUAUUGCUCAAUGGGGUAAACCCAGAAGCAACAACGCCGCGAGGAGGCUGAAGGUUUUUGGAUUAUAAACUCCUUUUGUUAGAGAAGAUAAUGACGGUAUCUCACGAAUAAGCACCGGCUAACUCCGUGCCAGCAGCCGCGGUAAUACGGCGGGUGCAAGCGUUACUCGGAAUCACUGGGCGUAAAGAGCGCGUAGGCGGGAUAGCAAGUCAGAUGUGAAAUCCUAUGGCUUAACCAUAGAACUGCAUUUGACACUGUUAUUCUAGAGUAUGGGAGAGGUAGGUGGAAUUCUUGGUGUAGGGGUAAAAUCCGUAGAGAUCAAGAGGAAUACUCAUUGCGAAGGCGACCUGCUAGAACAUAACUGACGCUGAGGCGCGAAAGCGUGGGGAGCAAACAGGAUUAGAUACCCUAGUAGUC
rnacentral:rRNA from 1 species